rnacentral:rRNA from 1 species
GUGCCAGCCGCCGCGGUAAUACGGGGGGGGCAAGCGUUGUUCGGAAUUACUGGGCGUAAAGGGCUCGUAGGUGGCCAACUAAGUCGGACGUGAAAUCCCUCGGCUUAACCGGGGAAUGGCAUCCGAUACUGGAUGGCUUGAGUUUGGGAGAGGGACGCGGAAUUCCAGGUGUAGCGGUGAAAUGCGUAGAUAUCUGGAGGAACACCGGUGGCGAAGGCGGCGUCCUGGACCAAUACUGACACUGAGGAGCGAAAGCCAGGGGAGCAAACGGGAUUAGAAACCCUCGUAGUCC